CACGAUGGACCGCAGAGAGCUGUACUCUGUGUGCACCUGCGUGUCAUCCACGGACCAGAAACGGUGGAACUGCAGGUUCUUCAGAUGAGGACAUUGAGGCACAGAGAAUUUAAGUCACUUACCUGAAGUCACACAGCUAAUAAGAUUGAGACCCAGCAGUCUGCCUAUGGAAUCUACACUCUGAGCCCCUAAACUGCAUCUUGAAUACAGCGUUUGGUACAGUCAUGCUCA